rnacentral:rRNA from 1 species
UACGUAGGGUGCGAGCGUUAAUCGGAAUUACUGGGCGUAAAGCGUGCGCAGGCGGUUUUGUAAGCCAGAUGUGAAAUCCCCGGGCUUAACCUGGGAAUGGCAUUUGGGACUGCAAGGCUGGAGUGUGGCAGAGGAGUGUGGAAUUCCUGGUGUAGCGGUGAAAUGCGCAGAUAUCAGGAGGAACACCAAUGGCGAAGGCAGCACUCUGGGACGUGACUGACGCUGAGACGCGAAAGCGUGGGGAGCAAACAGG